CCUACGGGAGGCAGCAGUCGAGAAUCAUUCACAAUGGGGGAAACCCUGAUGGUGCGACGCCGCGUGGGGGAAUGAAGGUCUUCGGAUUGUAAACCCCUGUCAUGUGGGAGCAAAUUAAAAAGAUAGUACCACAAGAGGAAGAGACGGCUAACUCUGUGCCAGCAGCCGCGGUAAUUCAGAGGUCUCAAGCGUUGUUCGGAAUCACUGGGCGUAAAGGGUGCGUAGGCUGUUUCGUAAGUCGUGUGUGAAAGGCGCGGGCUCAACCCGCGGACGGCACAAGAUACUGCGAGACUAGGGGAAUGGAGGGGGAACCGGAAUUCUCGGGGGAGGAGGGAAAUGCGUAGAUAGCGAGAGGAAAACUCGGGGCGGAGGGGGGUUCCUGGACAUUAACUGACGCUGAGGCACGAAGGCCAGGGGAGCGAAAGGGAAUAGAUACCCGGGUAGUC
rnacentral:rRNA from 1 species